rnacentral:rRNA from 1 species
UACGAAGGGUGCAAACGUUGCUCGGAAUUAUUGGGCGUAAAGGGCGCGUAGGCGGCCCUGUAAGUCAAAGGUGAAAUCCCUCGGCUCAACUGAGGAACUGCCUUUGAAACUGCAGGGCUUGAGGCCGGGAGGGGGUAGCGGAAUUCCCAAUGUAGCGGUGAAAUGCGUAGAUAUUGGGAGGAACACCAGUGGCGAAGGCGGCUACCUGGACCGGUUCUGACGCUGAGGCGCGAAAGCGUGGGUAGCAAACAGG